GAUGAACGCUGGCGGCGUGCCUAAUACAUGCAAGUCGAGCGAACAGACGAGGAGCUUGCUCCUCUGACGUUAGCGGCGGACGGGUGAGUAACACGUGGAUAACCUACCUAUAAGACUGGGAUAACUUCGGGAAACCGGAGCUAAUACCGGAUAAUAUAUUGAACCGCAUGGUUCAAUAGUGAAAGACGGUUUUGCUGUCACUUAUAGAUGGAUCCGCGCCGCAUUAGCUAGUUGGUAAGGUAACGGCUUACCAAGGCAACGAUGCGUAGCCGACCUGAGAGGGGGAUGGGCCACAGUGGAACUGAGACCCGGACAAGCCCCCGCGGGGAGGAAGCAGGGGGGAAUCCUCCGAAAGGGGCGAAAGCCGGACGGAGCAAGGCCGGGGGAGUGAUAAAGUUCUUCGGAUCUUAAAACUCUUUUAUGGGGAAAAAAAAAAUGUGAAAGAAAAAUUGCCCUUCUUGACGGUCCCUAACAAAAAACCCAAGGAAAACCCCGAG
rnacentral:rRNA from 1 species